UAAUAUUGAUAGAGUGGGUAUUGAGCU
rnacentral:piRNA from 1 species